UACGUAGGGUGCAAGCGUUGUCCGGAUUUAUUGGGCGUAAAGAGCUCGUAGGCGGUUUAGAAAGUCGGGUGUGAAACCUCCAGCUCAACCUGGAGACGCCACUCGAUACUUCUAUGACUUGAGUUCGGUAGGGGUAAGCGGAAUUCCUGGUGUAGCGGUGAAAUGCGCAGAUAUCAGGAGGAACACCGGUGGCGAAGGCGGGUCUCUGGGCCGAUACUGACGCUGAGGAGCGAAAGCGUGGGGAGCGAACAGG
rnacentral:rRNA from 1 species